rnacentral:rRNA from 1 species
UAAAACGUAGGAGGCGAGCGUUAUCCGGAUUUACUGGGUGUAAAGCGCGUGCAGGCGGCAUCGUAAGUUGUGCGUGAAAGCGCUCUGGCUCAACCGGGCGAGGACGUGCAAAACUGCGGAGCUUGAGAUAGGUAGAGGUAUGUGGAAUUCCGGGUGUAGUGGUGAAAUGCGUAGAGAUCCGGAGGAACACCAGUGGCGAAGGCGACAUACUGGGCCUUAUCUGACGCUAAGACGCGAAAGCAUGGGUAGCGAACGGGAUUAGAAACCCCGGUAGUCCAUGCCGUAAACGAUGUGUACUAAGUGUUGGGGUGUAGAAACCUCGGUGCUGAAGCAAACGUGAUAAGUACACCACCUGGGGAGUACGGUCGCAGGAUUA